AAACCAGCACCUCAAGUGGUCAGGAGGAUUAUUGGGCCUAAAGCAUCCGUAGCCUGCUUUGUAAGUUUUCGGUUAAAUCCAUAUGCUCAACAUAUAGGCUGCCGGAAAUACUGCACAGCUAGGGAGUGGGAGAGGUAGACGGUACUCGGUAGGAAGGGGUAAAAUCCUUUGAUCUAUUGAUGACCACCUGUGGCGAAGGCGGUCUACUAGAACACGUUCGACGGUGAGGGAUGAAAGCUGGGGGAGCAAACCGGAUUAGAAACCCGAGUAGUCC
rnacentral:rRNA from 1 species